rnacentral:rRNA from 1 species
CAGCAGCCGCGGGAAUACGAAGGGGGCUAGCGUUGUUCGGAAUUACUGGGCGUAAAGCGCACGUAGUCGGAUAUUUAAGUCAGGGGUGAAAUCCCGCAGCUCAACUGCGGAACUGCCUUUGAUACUGGGUAUCUUGAGUAUGGAAGAGGUUAGUGGAAUUGCGAGUGUAGAGGUGAAAUUCGUAGAUAUUCGCAGGAACACCAGUGGCGAAGGCGGCUAACUGGUCCAUAACUGACGCUGAGGUGCGAAAGCAUGGGGAGCAAACAGGAUUAGAUACCCCAGUAGUCCCUGUCUCUUAUAC